CCGGGGCCGGGGUCCACCCCGGCAGCGACGCGGGCUCCUCUCCCUAAGGACAAGGUCAAGGAUGAAGGGUCAAUGUCAAGUUGUCUUAACGGUGGAAGGCGACCGUCCGCGGCAGCACUCCUUGCUUUCCGCGUUUCUGGUGUCCUUGAUUGAUUUGAAAGUGCCAUUUUGAGGGGGGAACGCACCCAGCCGCCGGGAAGACGAGAGGGCUUCGCUUUUCCUUCAAAGGGCGAAGAAGUGACCGUGUGGAGAUUUCAUUGCCAUUCUGCCUAACAGCAUUUAAUGUCUUAAAACUGCUUUAAUGGCCGGAUUGCUUUAAGUUUCAGGGCCCCUCGGAAGGCUGAAUUCUGCCAAAGCGAACCCUCCGAGAGUUCAGAAUAACCGCCCCAUCUUCUGUUAAUCACGUCACACAACAAAAAUAAUUAAGUGAAACGUAGCUAGGGUGCUGCAGGCCUCCUACAAGUAAAGCUGCCCGGCCAGAAAAUGCCGUCAAACCUCCCUCACCGUGCGGGUCUGUCAAAAAUCCUUGCAGAAAGCAGCACGUUAAUCCUAAUCAUUUCCUCUCAAGAAUGAUAAAGCUACUCCUCCUAAACCAGAAAGAGUUGCCCCAGUCGGCUCCAAAAUCAGCAGCCGAAACACCUUCUGGAGGGGAUAUUGUCGCCGGGCGUUGCAAGGAGUAAAGUAAGCGAGUGUCCCCCCGGCUCUCUAAUUUGUCUGGCACUGUUGGAGGCAAAAGCCACCCUCGAGUGGCUCGGAGUGAGGGGUUGCGAGAAGG